rnacentral:lncRNA from 9 species
GGUCCCGCACUUCCCAGGUAUCAACUCAUUUCAUCCUGGCAACAACCUCUCAUCACCACUGUUACUGCGCUUUACAGAGAAGAAACCGUGGCACCCACGGAGCGUGUGACCUUCCCGGAGUCACGGAAUUCGCUUCUGCAACGUUAACUUCAUUCAAACUGGUGAGCAGCCUCGAGGUGGGCAAUGUGGAGGUUAUUUGCCUAAGGAGGAAUGCGGAGCUCGGAGAACUCCAGCAGCUUGCUCAAGAUCACACAGCAACUUAAUGGCCAAACUGGAACCAAGGGCCAAGACUCAGAACUUCCAGGGCAAUGUGAGUCUCCUACAAAACACCCUCAGAAGGAGUUCCCUUCGUGGCACAGUGGUAACGAACCCGACUAGGAUCCACGAGGUUGCGGGUUCGACCCCUGGCCUCGCUCCGUGGGUUAAGGAUCCGGCGUUGCUGUGAGCUGUGGUGUAGGUUGCAGAUGUGGCUCAGAUCCUGCGUUGCCGUGGCUGUGGUGCAGGCUGGUGGCUGCAGCUCCGAAUGGACCCCUAGCCUGGGAACCUCCAUAUGCCAAGGGUACAGCCCUAAAAAGCAAAAACAAACAAACAAAAAAACCCGAAAACAAAAACAACAACAAAAAAAACACAGCCUCGGAAGGAAAGGGGACACUGAAGGGCAGGAUUUAGUUUCUUCAUUUCCCUUCAAUAACUAGGCCCCUAACUCGGUCUUUGACGAGGAGGUGACAGUGACACAAUACGUCUGAACUUAGCGGAGCAGGGCAGCAGACCAGCAGGCAGAUUACAUCCUGGUGGCUACACAUGAUGGAAAACCGUGGAACAGAUGCCAGGGCAGCUGGCUGGGUGGUAGCUGGUGGGAAAUCGGUAACCACGCGAUCUUGGCGAAUCGGUUUUUACAUAGAAGGAUGCUGUGUCCCCUGAGUUUUAUUGCUAAGACAGAACAACUUGAGUUCCCCUGCCACCUCUUCUGGGAAUGACUCUCUUCCCAACUCGGGGUGCUCACCUCCAGGGUACCUCUCAGAGCGGUAACUUGGUCCGAAGGGGCAGCGCUAGUUCCAUCUCCUGAAGGAGAAAAACCUUUACCUUUAGGCAACCUGCAGUUGCUGAGGCUGCCACAUGGGGGCACUGUUGAAACGGAGCAGCUCUGUUGCCUAGAGGCAGUGCCCCGGGACCACCAGGCCACCACUGGUCUCCAGGACUGUCAGCAAUACCCGGCCCUAGGCACAGCCCCUGCCCUCUAAAUAAAUGGCCUUAUUGACCAGAGCACAUUCCCUCUGGCUGGUCCUGCCGGUGCUUCCCAAGGGGAUUUGGGAGAAGACUUUCUCGCAGAGUCCACGACGCAGAGCCCGGUGUUUCCACACACACUCAAACCUGGUCGCCUCACUUCCGAGGUCUGCCAGCAGUGUGCCAAGGUCGUGGGUUAGGAUGGGUUUGCAGGCCAAGGGAUAAAGUUGCCCUCUCUAGGCUCACUGGCGGGUAGCUCUUGGUUUGGGGCUGUACACUGCCCGUCUCUCUCCUGAAAGCAUCCCAGUUUCAUGAGUGGAAAUUGCCCCUCCCUGGCUGUCUUGGGGCAGGGGCACUUCUUGGCUCCUUCCUCCCACCACCGGCCUCCCCCCGCUGAAGUCAGAGAGGUCAGAUCCCUCCUCUCCUCACCUGGCUGCGUCAGUGGGGCGUCAGACGCUCUCCGCCGUGGCCUUUCAUUCUGCCAGAGCCAGUUCUCUUCGUGGCAAUAGCCGUUGUGUGUCACUGAUGCCGUCCUGACCUCUGUCCGGUCAAAGGAGGGGGCCGGUGUUCCUCCUUCCUGCGUCUUGACCCGCAGCGUUUCCUUGAUUCCUGCUGACCUAAGCCUGCGCUUCUGGUCUUUCAUCGGUUGUGUUAGCUCCCAGUGGCCUCCAAAAGAAAAAAAAGUCCCCUGCUCUCUCACUUCCGGUGCUCACACCGUGAAUACCGGGGGGAUGUCACCCCCAAGAACGGAGGUUCACGCCUUUACUCCCGACUCACCCCCGUUUGCUCCUGAGGACAGUCUGGGUGCCCCCCCGCCCCGCCCCAGCAAAUCCCACUUACCCUAACCCUUCCCCGAUAAGGCGAACACAAAGGCGCGUGCUCCCCAGAUGUGGUCAGUGUUGGUGCGGGUGGUGAGACGGCUGGAGGCUCCGUUUCCCUCGAAAGCUCGCACUUGUCCCGUAGAAGAAUUUUCCCGUUUCCAUACGCUCCACUGGGUCGAUGAGAAGCAACAGCGUCUCUCUGUGUUUGUUCAAGGGCGGUGAGACAAACUGAAACAAUAACGCUCUUUUUGGUGCUGAAGGCGGCAGCCCCGUCCCCGCGCGGGUGUCCUUGAGAAGGGGACUCUCGGUGUGUGGCACCGCCUGCUGGCUGUUAUCGCCCGCCUCCUGGGUGGAUUUAUUGACAGAGCCAAGGGCAGAUCUCCCAGGCUUUGUGGUAGGCAUGUCUCAGGACACGUCCUCAGCCACCUGUCCCCCAGGUCCCCCCACGCGCACCAGGAGGGAAACGGCACCGAACGAUGCUAGGAGUUCUGCUGCUCGGUUCUGGGGCCUCUUGGAAGGUCAUUGCCUGGUGGGAGCUGCACCCAGGAGAGAGCCCGGCGUCCCACUGUCUGGGUGGGAAGCGUUUAGUUGUGUCCCGGUGGACGGCACUUUUUGAGUUGCACACAGCAAAGCCCACCCCAAGCCGGCUUAAGCAAAAAGGGAAUUGAUUGCAAUCUGGUUGAUUUACAGUGUUACAGUAGUUUCAGGCGUACCAUGAAGGCUUCGAUGUUUUUGUCAAUUACACUCCAUCUAAAGGUUUUACAAAAUAAUGGUUAUAUUCCCUGUGAUGCACAAACAAGGGAAUGUAUUGACUCGUCUAACAGAAACACUGGCAUCUAAAUUCAGGCUUAGCUGGAUGCAGGGGCUAAGGAAGUGUUGUCAGGAUUCGGUCUCUCUCAGUCUCUUCUUCAGCCUCCUUUGCCUGCUUCAUCCUCAGGCACGCUUUUCCCACGCAAGACAAGCUGGGUGCCAGCAGCGCCAGGCUUGCAUCCUACCAGCUUAGCACUUCUUCCCAAGGGUUCCGGCGCGAGUCCAGGGCUGACUCUCCCUGGAGGGCCAAGUGACAUGCCCAUUGCUGGAACCACCCGCUCUCGGGAGCCAAGCUGCAGCCUCUGCUGAUCAGCCAGACUUGGUCCUGUUCUCGCUCCUGGAGUUGGGGGGCAGGGGGAGCCUCACUUCCACCUAUGACCCAAGAUGCAAGGCAGGGUGGCUCACUACAGACAGGUCAGAGUGGGGAAUGACGCCGGGAGCGAAAAGACCCGCAGGCCCCACGCGGGUUCGUCUGGAUGGGUGGUUACCCAAGAGCGUGGCCCAGACUCGCAGCAUCCACCUCCCGGGAAACUUGGGAGGAAGGCAGGUCCGUGGGCCCCACUGCAGAGCCGCCUCAUGGAGGCGGUCUCCCCAGGUGAUCCAGAUGCAUAUGUUAAAGUUUGAAAACCACGCGUGCAGACCGGGGGCUGGCCACCCUGACUUCAGUUAGAAUCGCCAGGGAAGCUUCUAAGCUGCCUGGACCCCACUCCCAACCAACCGGAUCAUGACAAGGAGUACGGGGGGUGGGCUCCUCAGCGGUGCUUUUGACAUGUUCCACCAAGUGGUUCCAAUGGGGCCAAGCGCGACAGGGGCCCUGAGCUCAAAGGAACGCUUGUCCUCGGUACUAUUUGUGCAGUGGACAUGAACGAGGGUGUGGACUGUCCCUCUGCUGCGGAUGGUGGCUUAGUAAAGGAGUGACUUGAGAGGUGGCACCUGCAGCCAAGCCAACGGAAACAACAAAGUGGGGGAUGGGAAUUCCCAUCGAGGCUCAGUGGCAACGAACCUGACUAGUAACCAUGAGGACACAGGUUCCAUCCCUGACCUCACUCAGCAGGUUAAGGAUCCAGCGUUGCCGUGAGCUAUGGGGUAGGUCCCAGAUAUGGCUCAGACCCCGCAUUGCUGUGGCUGUGGUGUAGGCUGGCAGCUACAGCUCUGAUUUGACCCCUAGCCUGGGACGCUCCAUGUGCUGCAGGCGCAGCACUAAAAGCAAAAUAAAUAGAUAAAUAAAUAAAUAAAUAUUCUAAAAAAAAAACCCAAAACCCAAAACAAAGUGAGGGAUGCAUGAGCCACUCAGCUGCAUGGAGUCUGAACUGGGAGUUCCCUGUGCUGUGAUAAAUGCGUCUUUACACCCUCACGGCUGAUUCAUUAAAGAGGAGGAGCAUGGGAGGGGGAAUCAGAGGCACGGUUUAGUGAGUGCUUCCUGAAUUUGCUGACUUAAAUCUGACCUAGCCCCGUGCAGGAGGUGCUACUAACCCUAGCUGUAAUCCUGGGAGGCAGGUAACAUUAACCCUCCAGGGAGGAGAGCCUUGGGGUCAAAGAGAGCUCAGUGGCCGAGCUGGGACUUGCGUCUAGAGCUGUCGGGUUCCGAGACAGUGGGGUUCUCCAGUUAGGAGCAGGGCAUCUUGGGGAGGGGGUUAGAGGCAAAUUCUCUGAUUCCACGUGUUGUGAGGAAAGAGCACCGGCCUGGAAUCAGCCCCUGGGCUGCUCUCCCAGCGCCGCUCUUGCCUGGAGGUGGGACCCGGAGCACGUCACUUCCCUGGCUGGGGCCUCAGUCUCCUGACUUGUACAGCAGGACGGCUUAAACCACCCCUGAGGUCUUGUCUUGUCUUUCUUCCUGGCUGGCUUUCUUUCUUUCCCCAUUCUUUUUGGAUGACGGUGUCAGGAAGUUUCCUGCAGAAGAGGUUUCCUCCUUCCCAGGAUCCUAAGACCUGUGUGGAAAGACUCCUGUGUUCCAGCCUGAGCAGGUGUUCGAGUCAUUCUGCUGUUGACUAAAACAUGGCUCCCUAGACCCGGAGUAAAUGAUUCCUGAUUUCCUGGAGUUCUCUUGCGGCGCCGCUGAUUAAGGAUUCAGCAUUGUCACUGCAGCAGCUCUGGUCACUGCUGGGACACAGGUUUGAGCCCUGGCCCAGGAACUUCCACACACCGCAGGUGCAGCAAAAACCAAGAAACCAAAAAACUUGGAAGGAUUCCUGAUUUCCUAAGGCUUAGAGUCAGCACAGCUCAGGACUGCAGAAGUCACAGGACCUGACGCCAGCAUUUAUCCGUCACUGCUGCGCUCAGCUGCGUGCUGGGCAGUGAGGAAGACGCAGAAAUGAUGGGGCAUCACCUGCUGCCAAAGAGGAGAUGCUCUCCGCCAUCUACAGAGCAUCCUGUUGUGCUGGAGCCAGAAGGGCCGGUUUCGUGGGAGAGCUGGAAACGGACCUGGAACCUCAAGGUUGGGAGAGGGGGAACUCGGCUCCCCCCAGGCCCGCAGGAGGAAGCCUCAGCUGGGAGCCAGCCCAACACCUCUGACACCGGCCGCCCUGCCUUUGGGCGAAGAGGGAGCCGGCCUCGGGCGCGGAGGCUUCCGCAGGCGCCGGUGUCCAGCUGGGAUUUGCUCACACGUCCUUGCACUGGUGUUUAUGGCAGCCCUCCGUUGACGGCAAUUUACAAGACCCUGGCACGCAGUGAACAAGCCAGACACGGCCCGGGCCACGUGGUGCUCACAGUCUAGAGGAAGACACAAAUACCCGCCGAGAACAGGGACCAGACAAGUGGUCUUUACGAGAAAACUUCCAGUAACGAUGUGCGAAGGGCCCUUCUAGGUAGAAGAGGAAGACCUCUCCACUGAACGGGGCUGUUGCUAACUCUCAAGUCUCCACUGAACGGGGCUCUGCCUUGGGAAGGAGCCUGUCAGGGCCCUGUACUUGCCCCUUGGAAGUGACCCUGGGGAAAAGGCAUUUGGACCGUGUGUGAGGAGCUGGCGCCUCUUCCGUGGUUGUUUGUAGUGCCUGUUGGUCUGAUAUUUUUGGAGGACAAUUUGGCAACAUUCAUUAGAGCUUUAAAAAGGACGGCUAGUCUUAAGGGACUGUGGAGACAAAUUGUUCUAUGUCCACAAAAUGCCAUAAAUGAUUACAUAGCCCUCUAUACCCAGACAGGGAAAGAGAUCCAGAUGUUACGAUGUUUGGUUCAAAAAGUUACGUACAGGGGGUUCCCGUCGUGGCACAGUGGUUAACGAAUCCGACUAGGAACCAUGAGGUUGCGGGUUCGGUCCCUGCUCAGUGGGUUAAGGAUCCAGCGUUGCCGUGAGCUGGGGUGUAGGUCGCAGACAUGGCUCGGAUCCUGCGUUGCUGUGGCUGUGGUGUAGGCCGGCGGCUACAGCUCCGAUCGGACCCCCAGCCUGGGAACCUCCAUGUGCCGUGGGAGCGGCCCUAGAAAUGGCAAAAAGCCCAAAAAAAAAAAAAAAAAAA